GCGCUCACUUUGGCAGCACGUAGACUAAGACCGGAACUAUACAGAGAAGAUUGGCAUGGCCCUUGCCCUGGGAUGACAUGGAAAUUCGUGAAGUGUUCCAUAUUCCA
ensembl:snRNA U6 U6 spliceosomal RNA